AUACCAGACAGCCUUGUAGUUCUGCGAGACGCUGACAGUGAGUGUUGAUGAUUCUAUCAGUCGUACUUCAGAUUAUCAAAGAUGACUGAUCUUCUACCAGCUCCCAUAACAGACCUCCUUUCAUGGCGUCUGGCUGCUAUUGUUAUGCCUGUUCUCAUUAUCGUCGCCUCCAUUUGCGGGGCAGUUGCUCUCUCCAAGGAGAUGAUUGACGCCUUUGGUGUGGUGUGUCACAUUAUGGGCAAUGUGAUACAAAAACUUAAGAAGAUCGUGAUUCUCAAACUGCGUUGGACUGUAUGUGAAACCAAACAGGCAGGAAACAACUGAGCGAGGACGCGACAGACAAUUACGAUACACUGGAGGGGAGCCGAUGAUCAAUGGUUGCAGCAGUAACAGUGAUGGAUACAUGGGGAACAUGCAUAUAUUAAUAUGAUGCAUUACAUUUCUGCUGGACAUUUUGUGUGAAUGUGUGUCUUGUCAGAUUUUUGUUACUGUGUCUUGAGAUAACUAUCACCCUUCUUUGUGGUAUAUUUUGACUGAACUCACACAAUAACAUAAGAAAUAAAGCAUAUGGAAAUCUUCAAA